GUAAGAGUUUCUAAGGGCUCGUCGCUGCCGUGGCCGGCGAGGCGCCGCGGUGGCGAGACCACAAGCUUCGUCUACGCACGUAGGAGCGGUAUCGGAGUCAUUCUCGGACCGGGGUUCGAUUCCCCGCGCCUCCAUCU
rnacentral:tmRNA from 1 species